GUGCUCCCUUUGGCAGCACAUACACUAAAACUGGAAUGACACACACAUUAGCAUGUUCCCUGCACAAGGAUGACACACACAUUUGUGAAGCGUUCCAUAGUUUU